AAUAUUGGACAAUGGGGGCAACCCUGAUCCAGCCAUGCCGCGUGAGUGAAGAAGGCCCUAGGGUUGUAAAGCUCUUUCGCCAGGGAAGAUAGUGACGGUACCUGGUAAAGAAGUCCCGGCUAACUCCGUGCCAGCAGCCGCGGUAAUACGGAGGGGACUAGCGUUGUUCGGAAUUACUGGGCGUAAAGAGUACGUAGGCGGUAACGCAAGUUGGGUGUGAAAGCCCGGGGCUCAACCCCGGAACUGCAUUCAAAACUGUGUUGCUAGAGAUCGGAAGAGGUAAGUGGAAUUCCCAGUGUAGAGGUGAAAUUCGUAGAUAUUGGGAAGAACACCGGUGGCGAAGGCGACUUACUGGUCCGAUACUGACGCUGAGGUACGAAAGCGUGGGGAGCAAACAGGAUUAGAUACCCUGGUAGUCCACGCCGUA
rnacentral:rRNA from 1 species